AGAGUUGUGGCUUAGUGGUAGAGCACUCACCUACCAUGGGUGACGCACUGGGUUUGAUCCUCAGCACCAUAU
rnacentral:tRNA from 1 species